GAGGGUAUAGCUCAGUGGCAGAGCACGUGCUUAGCAUGCAUGAGGUCCUGGGUUUGAUCCCCUGUACCUCCA
rnacentral:tRNA from 1 species